UUUGAGUAAUAUUUCAAUAUUCACCCACAUGAUGACAUUUCUGAUCGUGCAUCACUGUUUACAAGCACGAACUUGCGUUCUUUAUGUGUGUUCGCAGAACCUUUUGAGCGCCGAAUCGCUUCAACCAAAAAAUCAAGCUGUUUUCAAGAGUGGUGCAUGCGGGGAGUAAUUACAGGCAGCUGUUGCUGAGGGCCUCGUUUGAGGACGUUGAGAGGGAUUUUUGCAUUACCUGUAGCUUCAUCUUCUCUCCUCUUCUUCUGAACCCUGGAGGAAUUCUGCUAACUUUGUUUCUAAAAGUGGCAUUGCGAAGAAAGUUCUGUGGGUUGCCAUGACAACUGUUUCCGACAGAGAGAGAGAGAGAGAUGCAGAGGCUCAGUGAGAUGCUGAAGAAAAGGUUGAACAAGAAGCGUUUUGAAUGAAGUGUUCAGAGGCCAGGAGAGCCGGUCCGCGGUGACCCGAGGCAGAUUGAACACACUGACACACCGUCUGUACGCGUGUAGCGUCGAUGCGCUCAUGACUUCGGGAGCACCUUUAGAUCCACGGAAGAGUUAGAGAAGGUCACCAGUCGUCCAUCGGCUCAGUUCUUGACUGGAUCCUGCUGUCCUGAGGUCGAUUAUACGCUGGAUGGGAGGACGGUUUCUGGAACAUAAUAUAGCGAUGACACAAUGAGGAUAAAACGAGUCAUGUGGUCAGGUGACACUUUGAGGUCAGUGACUGAAGAUCCUCCCUCUUCGCUUUUACUCUUGGAGGACAAUGAACUGGUUUUUUUUUUUCUUCAGUGCAAUUAAUGACAACAUGAACAACGUCCUAGUUUUCGCCAGUGCAAAACGAGGGAAAAUUCCCAAAGAUGGCCGCCUGAAAAGCUCCGGCUAGGUCGGUCACGCGGCUCAUCCAAUUAUAGAAUAGCUGUGACAACUCGGGGGGUGAAGAUGGAAACUCUUCCCUCCGACGCUAUAAAUCAAAGUGGUUCAUUUUCAAGGUGAGAUGUUGGGGAAGUUGAAGAGUCAGGAAUUUGUGGGAACUGGAGCACAGUGGGAAUCAUAGGGAACUUACUGGAAACAUAAAUGCAGCAAAUCUUUCAAUAAUCAAAGCACACCUGCACAUGGUUUCAGAAGUGUACAUGCAAACUUGAGUUAAACAGCUUUAAAAAUGAGGAUGCAUGAUGUUGGACACGCUGC